UUCGGCAGAAAGGCCUCCCCGGGAGGGGCUGGGAGCUCCCCAAGCAAGGGCAGGCACUUCCCCUCCCUUUGGCCACUUGGCCCUGGAGGGCUUCUUUGGAGAUAAAUCCCACAGAAGGGGAGGGGAAAUUAUGUAACUCAGGGAAAAACGCUAUGUGGAGUCCCAUGUACUCACAAUCUCUCUGGAGGAAACCAGGCUUCACCGUCGCCAGGUGACAACGAAAUGCCCUAACCCCGGGCUGCCAGCAGCACAGGGCCAUGGAAUCCAGGGAGAAACAAGCUCUGAGCUGAGGGGUGUGUAAAAUGGAGGUUCUGAUUCGGUAGCUCCGGGGCGGGCCUGAGCUCUGCAUUUCUGAUGCUCCCAGGGAUGCUGAUGUUGCUGGUCUGGGGACCGCUCUGAGGUCAGGGCUGUGGAGGGCAGGCACCAGGCUGAGCAGCGGCACUGCUGGUGCUGAGUCAGCUCUUCCCUCAGCCCCUGAGGUCUGGAGUGCUUCCCGUUGGGAGAUUUACUAGUUUUCUUGCUUGGCUACCCGGCAUUAACAGGUACGGUAAAUGGGAAUACAUGGCUACAGUUGAGUUCUAGUGGGCGAAAUGUCCAGUUACAUGUUAGCUGCAACCCUUAACAAGCAGAAGUGAAUAAUCUAUUCGGCUACUCCACAACACAGAAUGUGUGCCUAUGUUUCGUAUGAUAGCACGAAAGUAAUGCCUUAGAAUUACUAAUGACUCUGAAGCCUCCAGUUAUUUUAAAGGUGCCGUCCUAGUUAUCUCUUGGAAAUACAUUGAGAAAAAACAACCCUUUCACAGCAGCCCAGUGACCUUUCUACAAACUUACGCUUGUGAAGGAAUCUUUAAUAUUUUAGAUCCUUAGCCAAAUGUAACAUUUUACUUUAAUUUUCUGGACUGGACAUUUGCAGCUUUAAUGUUUAAUUUUGGGGGGCCAAGUCAUGUCUAAACGGGCUUCUUCUUUGAGAUCCCCCCUUUUGCAUGUUGUGGAAAAAGUCAGAGCUUCCCCUGUACGGAAGCUGAAGAAGCCAGACGCCUUGUCUUCCUGGUCCCAGAAGGCAUUGGAACCGUGGGAAGCGAGUCUCCUGCCCAUCUCUGUUCAUCCCGGACAGUUGCAAUUGUGGAGGGACCCUCCAAUGACAUUGGACACUGGAGGCCCAGAGAAGGAAGUCCUCUGAAGAGAAUAAAAUAGUCCACUUAAAGCAACACCAGAAGUCUCUUGGGAUAUGUGAGGACAAUAGCUCCCUGUGUGUGCUGGAGACCUUGGACAAAGUCCCCAAGUCAUAUCCAUACCUACAAGGUGUCAGAAGAAAAGAUUACAACACAUCCCGUUUAAAGACAAGGAAACUGCAACAAAAAGUGUCAGACCCCACACUGUGAUCUCAACACUGCUGAGCUCUGCCUGGAAUCUUGGAACUCUCCAGCGAUCUCCUCUCCUUAAGAGUGGACGUGGGAUGCCUCCACGCAUUCAGUCAAAAUAAGGUUAUGGUGUGCCUGUUGUGUGCUAGGAAUUAUCUUCUCAUCAGAAAAAGAAUCUCUCUAUGUUUUGGGAAUAAGUGAAGAACAAAAUGAUGAUGUGUAAGAGGUUCUUGCCAAAUUGGUCGGCACAGAGAAGCCCUGGAGAAAGGCUGACAGUAUUGCUGGUGGGGGCUCUGCUGGCUGGUUUCCAGGACUCUUCCUCUGGGACAGCUUGUGCUUCCUGCCACCCUCCCCAGGGUCAUUUCUUAUCCUUCC
ensembl:lncRNA novel transcript